rnacentral:lncRNA from 10 species
UAUAUCCAGAGAAUAUAUAUAUCCAGAGAAUAUAUUAUCACUCUCUCCAGGCCUGUAAGGCCUCUGCAGAGAAAUCCACUGUUAUCCUUACUGGAGCUCCUUUUAUGUUAUUUUCUUCUAUUCUUUUGCUACUUUCAGGAUUCUCUCUUUGUCCUUGACUGUUGACAGUUUGAUUACAAUAUGCCUUAGUUAGUCUUGUUUGGAUUGAAUCUGACUGGAGACAUCUGACUUUCCUGUACUUGGAUAUUUAUAUCUCCAUCCAAAUUUGUAAAGUUUUUUUGCUAUUUGUUUAAAUAAGCUUUCUAUGCACUUUGUCUUUCUCUCUCCUUCACAAACUCUUACAACUUGAAUAUUUUUUCUUUAGAUACUGCCUCAUAAAUUCCAUA